AAAAAGUAAAAGAACACACAUUCAAUGAAAAAAGGAACGAAAAUAGGAUUCUCUCUUGAUCUUAUUGAAAAAGAUGAGCUGCAACAUGUACAAAGAAAGAGUGAGAAAAAGGUUUCAAAUUCCUUUUUUUUAGUUUUAUCUGAAACGGCACAUACACACGAGCACAGAGGAAACGUUGAGGAAUUUUGAGGGACAGAAGUUCGGCCAAUUUUCUAUUUUGAUCUCGGCUGACGGAGUUUGAUUGAGG
rnacentral:lncRNA from 1 species